CAGUGGUGUCGUCAUUGAUGCUGCUGAACUGAUUAAUGAAUGUUGGCUAGAAGUGCAUGGAAAAUUUAAAACUACAAAGCUGUCACCAGGAACUCUGUCUGAAGUUGUGUUUGUGGUCAAGCUGAAAUCUUCAGCUGAUGGAUGGGAUGUUCCAGUGAAUGUCAGUCUCACUCUUCCAUGGUAGCAAACAAUGGCAUGAAGUUAAUUUGAUGGAAAUCCCAAGAGAGCAAUGGAUAGAGAUUUCGGUUGGCUAGUUUAGAGCAUCACCUGAAAAACCUGGGGACAUGGAGUUUUCGAUGUAUAAAUAUGAUAGUGGGAAAUGGAAGGGAGGACUUGUUAUCAAGGGUGUUACCAUUCGGCCUAAAAACUAAGUUGCAGAAUACUCUUAACAACUUUGCUUAGGAGCAGAGAUAUGAUUUUCUGGGUUUUUCAUAUGAAGACAGAAAUGAGAGAUGCAUAUGUAAGAAAUGAUCAGAACAGAAUAAUGAAACAAUGAUAC
rnacentral:lncRNA from 1 species